ACAGACGAUAAACACAUCAGGUCAGGUGACCGCUACAGAGAGCCUUCCACUGUCCUCGAAUAGCAGCAAGGCUGAGCCACGGCAGAAAGACCAGGAGGCCAGCAGCGCUCCUGUGGUUCUGGUUUGCGUUCUGCUCGCAUUGGUUACAGUGGGCAUUGUCGCAUUUAUUGG